UUUGCGGGGGUGGGAUAGGCAUGCAAGUCGUGCGAGAACCGUAGCAAUACGGGGACAGCGGCGUAAGGGAGAGGAACACGUGGAUACGUACCCUUGGGUUCAGGAUAGCCAUGGGAAACUAUGGGUAAUACUGAAUAACAUCUCCGGAUCAAAGGUGAGAUUCCGCCCAGGGAGCGGUCCGCGUCCUAUUAGCUAGUUGGUGGGGUAACGGCCUACCAAGGCGAAGAUGGGUACGAGAUGUGAGAGCAUGAUCUCGCUCAUUGGGACUGAGACACUGCCCAGACACCUACGGGUGGCUGCAGUCGAGAAUCUUCGGCAAUGGGGGAAACCCUGACCGAGCGACGCCGCGUGUGAGAUGAAGGCCUUCGGGUUGUAAAUCACUGUCGUAGGGGAGGAAGUGCUGGUGGAUUCUCCCAUCAGUUUGACCUAUCCUAGGAGGAAGGACGGGCUAAGUUCGUGCCAGCAGCCGCGGUAAGACGGACCGUCCAAACGUUAUUCGGAAUCACUGGGCUUAAAGGGUGCGUAGGCGGCCUGGAAAGUCGGGUGUGAAAUACCUCGGCUCAACCGAGGAACUGCGCUCAAAACUGUCGGGCUCGAGGGAGAUAUAGGUGAGCGGAACUUAGGGUGGAGCGGUGAAAUGCGUUGAGAUCCUAGGGAACACCAGUAGCGAAAGCGGCUCACUGGGUCUUUUCUGACGCUGAUGCACGAAAGCUAGGGGAGCGAAGAGGAUUAGAUACCCUCGUAGUCCUAGCCGUAAACGAUGAGCACUGGUUUGGAGGCUCCUCCAUAGGCCUCCAGACGUAGCGAAAGUGUUUAAGUGCUCCCGCCCUGGGGGGAGUAAUGGUCGGCCAAGGGCCU
rnacentral:rRNA from 1 species